GAUGAACGCUGGCGGCGUGCCUAAUACAUGCAAGUCGAGCGAACAGACGAGGAGCUUGCUCCUCUGACGUUAGCGGCGGACGGGUGAGUAACACGUGGAUAACCUACCUAUAAGACUGGGAUAACUUCGGGAAACCGGAGCUAAUACCGGAUAAUAUAUUGAACCGCAUGGUUCAAUAGUGAAAGACGGUUUUGCUGUCACUUAUAGAUGGAUCCGCGCCGCAUUAGCUAGUUGGUAAGGUAACCGCUUACCAAGGCAACGAUGCGUAGCCGACCUGAGAGGGUGAUCGGCCACACUGGAACUGAGACACGGUCCAGACUCCUACGGGAGGCAGCAGUAGGGAAUCUUCCGCAAUGGGCGAAAGCCUGACGGAGCAACGCCGCGUGAGUGAUGAAGGUCUUCGGAUCGUAAAACUCUGUUAUUAGGGAAGAACAAAUGUGUAAGUAACUAUGCACGUCUUGACGGUACCUAAUCAGAAAGCCACGGCUAACUACGU
rnacentral:rRNA from 1 species